GACAGAGGGUGCAAACGUUGUUCGGAUUUACUGGGCGUAAAGCGUGUGUAGGCGGCUUUGUAUGUCGGAUGUGAAAGCCCACGGCUCAACCGUGGAAGUGCAUCCGAAACUGCAUAGCUUGAGUCCCGGAGAGGAAGGUGGAAUGCUUGGUGUAGAGGUGAAAUUCGUAGAUAUCAAGCAGAACACCUGCGGCGAAGGCGGCUCACUGGCUCAUUACUGACGCUCAGGCGCGAUAGCGUGGGGAUCAAACAGG
rnacentral:rRNA from 1 species